rnacentral:rRNA from 1 species
AUAAGUUACAAAGGGCGUACAGUGGAUGCCUAGGCACCGAAAGACGAAGAAGGACGCGACUACCUGCGAAAAGCUGCGGCGAGUUGGACGUAAACUUUGACCCGCAGAUGUCCGAAUGGGGAAACCCGAUAUGCUAACUACAUAUCAUACGAGCGGUGAAUACAUAGCCGCCGUAAGGCAACCCAGGGAAUUGAAACAUCUUAGUACCUGGAGGAAAAGAAAGAGAAUCGAUUCCGUCAGUAGCGGCGAGCGAAAGCGGAAGAGCCCAAACCAAGAAAUUGGGGUUCGGGGUUACAAAGAAUCAUGACGAAGAAGAAGAAGUGUUUGGAAUGGCACAUCUAAGAGGGUGAAAAUCCCGUAUUCGUAAGAGAGUCAUGGUCGUAACUACCAGAGUAGGGCGGGGCACGUGAAACCCUGUCUGAAUGAGCGGAGACCACUCCGUAAGGCUAAAUACUCUUCGGUGACCGAUAGUGAACCAGUACCGUGAGGGAAAGGUGAAAAGAACCCCGGGAGGGGAGUGAAAAGAAUCUGAAACUGUAUGCUUACAAGAUGUCAGAGACCGUUAAAGGUUGAUGACGUGCCUAUUGAAGAAUGAGCCGGCGAGUUAUGUAUACAUGCGAGGUUAAGGAGAAGAUCCGGAGCCGUAGCGAAAGCGAGUCUGAAUAGGGCGUUCAGUAUGUGUAUGUAGACCCGAAACCCGACGAUCUAGCCAUGAUCAAGAUGAAGUAAGGGUCAAACCUUAUGGAGGUCUGAACCGACGUUCGUUGAAACGACCGCGGAUGAAUUGUGGCUCGUGGUGAAAUUCCAAUCGAGUCGGGUAAUAGCUGGUUCUCCUCGAAAUAGCUUUAGGGCUAGCCUCAGAACACUACAUUUUGGAGGUAGAGCACUGAAUGAAAGCGAGCCGCGCCAAGCGGUAUCAAUUUCAAUCAAACUCCGAAUUCCGAGAUGCUUAUUCUGGGAGUCAGACUGUGGGAGAUAAGUUUCAUGGUCAAAAGGGCAACAGCCCGGACCGCCAACUAAGGUCCCUAAAUUCGCGCUAAGUGUUAAAGGAUGUAGAGAUACUUAAACAGCUAGGAUGUUGGCUCAGAGGCAGCCAUCAUUUAAAGAAUGCGUAACAGCUCACUAGUCAAGUGUCUCCGCGCCGAAAAUUUACCGGGGCUAAGCGCGAUACCGAAGUUGCGGAUAUUUCUAAAGAAAUGUGGUAGGGGAGCGUUCCAUUAGCAUAGAAGCCAUACCGGAAGGAGUGGUGGAGCGAAUGGAAGUGAGAAUGCCGGCGUAAGUAACGAUAAGAGGUGAGAAUCCUCUUCACCAUUUGACUAAGGUUUCCUGGGCUAGGUUCGUCCACCCAGGGUCAGUCGGGACCUAAGACGAGGCCGAAAGGCGUAGCCGAUGGACAGCAGGUUAAUAUUCCUGAACCCGGUUGUGUGCGAUCGCAGUGACGAAAGCGGUUAGGUUUACCCACGAAUGGAAGUGUGGGGAGAUAGUGAUAAGCUGUCGGCUAGAAUCCGACACCAAGUGAAACACCGAAGUACGAAAGGGGUGACCUGAGUAGGAAGUAGCUGAUACCGAUUUCCAAGAAAAGCUGCUAGCUUAAGCACAAUCGGCCCGUACCGAGAACGGACACACGUGGUCAAGGAGAGUAUCCUAAGGUGAGCGAGAUAACUGUUGUUAAGGAACUCUGCAAAAUUACUUCGUAAGUUAGCGAGAAGAAGUGCUCCGUAAAAGGAGCCGCAGUGAAGAGGCCCAAGUAACUGUUUACCAAAAACACAGCUCUAUGCUAAGUCGUAAGACGAUGUAUAUGGGGUGAAGCCUGCCCGGUGCCGGAAGGUUAAUAGGAGAGGUGAAAGCUUUGAAUUGAAGCCCCGGUGAACGGCGGCCGUAACUAUAACGGUCCUAAGGUAGCGAAAUUCCUUGUCAGGUAAGUUCUGACCCGCA